CUCUGUUGUCCAUCUUCUUUAGAGUUCAAACAAGGACUGGGUUCUUUGCUUAGACCAGUUCUCUCUAGACAACAAAAGGAUUAAAUUUUGAAUCUCUUAGAACAGAGUGGGACUUGGUUGAGCUGGAAGAGGCUGGCUGUACAAGAGGAAGCUUCUGUGCUUGCAGAGCCUCAAGAAUUGUUGACUGAUUGUUGGAGCUCAGUGAAGGUGUAGAGAGCAGAAUAGCUGUGGAGCACUCAGACUCAAAUGUGGGAGCACUAACCAGAUGAGUCUGAAAUAGCACUUUGC